AGCAGUGAUACUUGAAGGCGUGCGUUUCGGCGGUAGGGACAAACAUUUUAGUCCGAAAAUUUGCUUAUUGGCAAAGACAUAAAUUAGAAUCUUUAACUGCCAAUGAUAAUAAUUUGUACGCUAAAAAUAUGUGUAUUAUGUAGGUAAUAAAAACUUUUCAUCACAUUCUUAUGUUUCAGGAUCUAAAAACAAAGCGAGUGCUCGCAAAAUAUAGCCGAGGACUAGUCGUACACUGCAGGAAUGGAAAUGUUGCAUGUGAAUGAAGCAGUUACACUGGAGACCCAAAAAUAUGAGAUGAUGGUCCUCUAUUAGACUGCUUUUGAUAUAAAUUAAACAUUUUGGCGUGCAAGACGCACAAGUAUUUUUUUGAAAUUCCAAACAUUGUCCAAACAUACAAUUUAUUGUUAGCUGCAAAUGCAGUGCAUUUCAGCAAGUUAAAUAAUUUUUUUAAGUUUCGGAAAAUAUUGCUGGCGUCUUAAAAAUUUAAGGUAGUUUAAUUUUAGAAGACUUCUUUUGAUUGACAUUAACUAUUUGGGCCUGCAGGACGCUGGAGAAUUUUAAAAAAUCCGUUAAUUUGACCGAAAACGUUCUUUAGGCGCAAAUUAGAUCAAUUUCAGCACAAUGAUAGAGUUAAUAAAUUUUGGGAAAUUUCUAGCAUCGUAUAAAUUGAAGGUGGUGAACUUCUGAUAGCAUGGUUUUGAAAAAUAGAAAUAAAAGUUUAGGUCCCUGAGAUAGAAUUUUGGAAGAUUGCUAAACUUAUCCAAAAACCUAGUAUUGGGCUCCAUUAUCCUCAGGAUCACCUUUUUCGCGAUCCUGAAAGAAAUGAUACAAAAAAAAGUCUGCAACUCUCAUUAUCAGACGUGAGUAACAAGUAAUAGUAACAUAUAAGGUAAACGUGAGAAAAAGUCAGAGGAAGAUAAAUAAAAUUAGAGCAUGGGGAGUGUAAUUAAGAUGUCACGAUCAAUCAGUCAUCCCAAUGUUGCGAUGCAUCAGAACUGUUUUCAACCAUUAUUCAGAUUUUUUGCAGCAUACAUAUGUAGGUAUAGCUUGCCGCGCCUGGUCACUGGUCAGGAAAAAACGCAAUUGAUCGCAGCUUUGGCUCGCCAAACCUGCGAAUAAGGAUAGAUUGAAAGGGAGGGGGGGGGGUGUUUGCCGAAUUUAAGAGGAAAAACUGUCCUGACAUAAAAAUAUGCAAGUUGAGUCUGUGGCCCAAUUAUCAGAUGUUCAGUGGAACCUAUUCGCAUCUUACAUGACAUGUUAAAUUGCCUGAAAAUGCGACUGUAGGGUGUCCCUUAUUUUUGAAAUUUGAGAAAAUUUAAGCUCCCCAGGUUUUAAAACGUGCUAUGAGGUGCAAAAAUGGAAAGUUUUCUUAAUUUUAAAUUUUUUUUGGUCGCCUCUCAUUUACCCGAGAGGGCUCACAAAUAAAAAUUGGUAUUAUACGAAAAGUAGUAUCGUUUCUCUGUGAAAAUCAUAAAAUUGCGGUCGUUCAGAACAAAUAUGUCGUCAGUUUGGCCGUACCUGUAGCUGGAAAGUCGCAAACGGCCAUUUGAAGCGUGGAGACCACCCUCCAGCGCGGCGCGCCACUUAAGGUACGGCAAUUAAGACGCGGAAUCGGACGCGGCGGACGACCCGAGCGAGCGAGGCGUCGAGUAAGUUUCCGCUCCGCCGCCGUGCCCGGCAACUAAGCAGCGGAAUCGCCUCCAAAAUUCCGUCGUGUUCGUCGGCAGACUCGUCAUAAGUAUCCGAUGAUAACUCGCGAGUGUGUGUUGCGCCUUGCUACAAUGAACACUCACCACGUUUCAAAAUCUUUAAUAUUUUUAACGAGAAUACCAACCAAUAUAUCCGUUUGUAAAAUUUCUAAAAGUAUUGUUCAAUGAGCGAAAAAAUGUUUACAAAAAGUCUAAGAUAAGCGUAUCUACUGUUGCAUCUCUAUAGCAACGUCAAUGAGAUAUAAGAAGUUCAAUUUAUCAAAUUCACUCUCUCUGUACUCCGGCUGUUUAUCUCAUGUAAUUAAUUGUUUUUUUAAAUAAUAUUCUAUCUUCAUUAUAA